AGGGCCACCAUAAAAUAAAACACAAAAAUCUCUUCAUUUACCAGUAAUUAGAAAAUAAUAAAAUCGGCUUUAAACGUAUCUGUACAAAAUAGAACAAUUUUAUUUCUGAUAUGGCUUAGAUUUUUCUUUUUUAGUAUUUUUUCUUUCAGUCUAAAAGCAAAACAAAAACCUAAAGUAAAAAAAAAAGAAA